UACAGAGGUCUCAAGCGUUUGUUCGGAUUCAUUGGGCGUAAAGGGUGUGUAGGUGGCGCCGUAAGUCGGGUGUGAAAUUUCGGAGCUUAACUCCGAAACUGCAUUCGAUACGGGCUGGCUAGAGUGUGGUAGGGGAGAUCGGAAUUCCUGGUGUAGCGGUGAAAUGCGCAGAUAUCAGGAAGAACACCCGUGGCUAAGGCGGCUCUCUAGUACGGUACUGACGCUGAGACGCGAAAGCGUGGGGAGCGAACAGG
rnacentral:rRNA from 1 species